AUGUACAUCUUACCGGAAGGUGUGCAUAGCUCCUUUGACAAGGAGCUGGAUAGGUUCUUCUGGCAGGCAGGAGAUGGUUGGGCCAAGUACCAUAUUGUGAAGUGGGCUGACAUUUGCUUGCCGAAGGAUCGAGGUGGGUUGGGCAUCCCUGCAUCACGCUGGAUGAACGUUGCGCUUAUGUUGCGUUGGGUUUGGCAGAUCUUGCGGGGAGAUGGGGGGGGGGGGUUGUGGCUGCAGCUGGUUGAGUCCAAGUACUUGCAGGGUCAACUCCUCAUGGCUUGCUCUCACUUAGCUAGGUCCCAGUUCUGGAAAUCUAUUCAUGCCAUCAAGGAAGAUAUUAGGUUGGGUGUGCGUUUCUCGGUUGGCAAUGGCUCUGGGACCCAAUUUUGGUUGGACCCCUGGCUCGAGGGCGAGCAUGUCUGCUUGCGGUUCCCGUGGCUCUUUGCGAUUUGUGAUUACCCGGCCAUUCUUGUAUCUGCGGCUGCGUUGGAGGAGGGGUGGAACAUUGCGUUCCGCCGCUCAUUCGGUUCGGGAAUGUACUAA
rnacentral:rRNA from 1 species